AGGAGGCGAUGUAAAGAUCAUUAGCUGUCCGUCUGGAAAAAUGUCCGGCUAGAAACUCAACGAAAAUAUCCGGUCCUAGACCUGAAGAAAUACGGUGCCUUGCAUGUGUUUGACCAAGAAAAAACUCGAAGGGAAAUGACAAGACUCUAGACACCGUGUGGAAGCUGUAGGUACUGCAACCUCAGUCAAUUAAUUGUGGUUCACCUUUAUCAAUGGGUUCAAGUAGCGCAUGGAUAUAUUUUCCCAUUUUCAGUGAUCAGUUUUUCCUGUGCUUUUCGAUGUAAAUGCCGUUCUGGUAAAGCCACAGCAGUGAUUUAACCAGUUUUAUAAACGUCUGAGUGUUUUCUAUCCACACAGACUAAGCAAAUGCAUAUACUAUAUUCCUGGCAUGAGUAGCAGGGCGCUGAAAUGUUGCGCGAUUUUUAACAGAAUGUUUAAAAAAGUAGAGGGUAGAAGGAAGAGGUUAAUGUGUUUGAGGCAAUCAGUUGUGGUGUGACAAGGUAGGGGUGGUAUAAAGAGGAUAGCCCUAUUUGAUAAAAUACCAAGUCCAUAUUAUGGCAAGAACAGCUCAAAUAAGCAAAGAGAAACGACAGUCCAUCAUUACUUUAAGACAUGAAGGUCUGUCAUUCAAGAACUUUGAAAGUGUGUGCAGUCGCAAAAACCAUCAAGCGCUAUGAUGAAACCGGUUCUAAUGAGGACUGCCACAGGAAAGGAAGACCCAGAGUUACUUCUGCUGCAUAUGGGAUAAGUUAAUUAGAGCUACCAGCCUCAGAAAUUGUAGCCCAAAUAAAUGAUUCAGAGUUCAAGUAACAGACACAUCUCAACAUCAACUGUUCAGAGGAGACUGCGUGAAUCAGGCCUUCAUGGUCGUAUUGAUGCAAAGAAACAACUACUAAAGGACACCAAUAAGAUGAAGAGACUUGCUUGGGCCAAGAUACACGAGCCAUGGACAUUAGACCGGUGGAAAUCUGUCCUUUGGUCUGAUGAGUCCAAAUUUGAGAUUUUUGGUUUCAACCGCUGUGUCUUUCUGAGACACAGAGAAGGUGAAUGGAUGAUCUCAUGUAUCGUUCCCACCGUGAAGCAUGGAGGAGGAGGUGUGAUGGUGUGGGGUGCUUUGCUGGUGACACUGUCUGUGAUGUAUUUAGAAUUCAAGGCACACUUAAAAUAGCUAUUACAGAGAACAAAUACCAUGCUUUUGUUUGAGAAGAGCAAUCAACAACAAAAUAAUUUUCUGCCAUGACAGUUUUUACACAUACACAUCUGAAGGUGAAAUUAUGGCUUACAUUCUGAUAUCUUGCUCUUAUUUCUCUUCCUGAGGGUCCCAGUGAUCAAAUGAAGUGCCGUUUUCUUUGAUAAAAUCCAUUUUUAUAGCCUAAAUCAAAACAUUUUGUAACCCGUUUGUGCCGUGAAUUCCAUCUCUAUCAUUUUUUUACGGAGCAUUCAACGUAAUUAUACACGGUAAACAAUUGUUUAUCUAGUCAUGGUUGGUUUCAGUGCAUUCCUCUGGAUGUUUGCAACACAGCCAAACGUCAUUGUUUUUUUUGCAGGGAGUAUUGACCGAAGUGAACUGAUUUGAAGACAACGAGCAAUGACUACCUUGCGCACCAAUAAUUUUAGCGAAGCUUCGUUGAUUGACUGUAUUUCCGCCCAAUGACCACUGAUCUUCUUGAAAUCUAGCUGGGUAGAUAGCCAAUGAGCUGAGGUAAACGCCAGUAUGUAAUGGUUUUGGGUUGGACCACCAUUCCUUGUUUGUAAAUGCACGCGUAACGAACUCCAUUCUCGCCUUGACUAUCAGAGGAGUUGCUGUGACGCUUGUUACGUGCAGCAGUAUUUUGGAAAGUUGUAUUUUCAACGAUUUCAUUGAAAACAUCAUGACAAAUAAAUCAGGAAAAGCAAAGUCAAAGUCUAAAGUGAAAGUGAGACAGAUUUUUUGUUUGAGGAAUCUUUGAGUGUUAUGAUUCAAACAGAAGCUGGGGAGCUGUUUCUGCAAGGACAGGACGUACUUCUGGACGGUGAUAGCGACUCCGACUGGGAGCCCCCGGUGCCAAGCUGCCCGCUCUACCUCUGCCCCCUCUACUCCUGCCCCCUCUACUCCUGCCUCCAGUGGUGUUCAUAUGCCACAGUUCAUUACUGCAGGCAUGACUGUGCCUCAGGGCCAAAAGGGCACAGCAUGGAGGCGUCGUUGUGUUCUGUGUUGCAUGACCUGCACCACUUGUUCAGUUUUCCUCUGCUUUACAUCAGAAAGAGACUGCUAUGGGACAUGGCAAAGGCAGCAAAAUAUUGUGUAGAGGACUUCCAAAGGGUGUACUGUUUUUUUUAAAUAUUUUUUUUCUAAUAUUUUUUUUUUUGUGUGUGUGUUAGAAUUGCUUUUUGAUAUGUUGUAUAUAGUUAUUUGCACUGUUGUAUAUAGUUAUAGGUCAUUUCACCAAUUCGGCCACUUGGGUACAUUUGGGCAACUUGUGUGGGACACCUGGGUGACUUCAUGCUAAAUGUCAUGUAGCUCACCCAUUCCUGAAGUUAUCAGUCUGAAACUUUGCACACCUACAGUUGCCCUCUUGUGUUAUCCAUCAAAAUUAUCUCCAGCAUCCUAUCUGACUGUGUGGCUAUUCUAGUACAUGUGAAAGAUGAUGCGACAACAAUAAAAACAGAAAACGUA